UGGGGCUGUAAAAGAAAAAGUCACAGGGGAUUGUAAACUUUGAUAAAUACUGUAGCAUAAAACCACAGCAGCAAAGACAAAACAGUGCCAUACAACAUAUGUUUCUUUUGCAAAACCUCCAAAAAGAAACUAUUGUGUAAAGAAUCUCUGUGAAAAAUUUGCAGCAAUGACUUUAUCAUUUUAUACCAAACAAAAUACAAAGCAUAUACUCUCUAAUUUCCUUUCAUAUAUACACAGUCUUCAAACUAUCAGGCAAAUAAUCAACUAAUUUUUUAUGGCUCAGAGUUCUUGUAAUCAAACAUAUAAUAUAAUCCAUUUCCAAAUGAUAAUGGUAUUGCUUGAAACAACACAUAUAAAUUGCCAACCUUCAUGUCUCUGUGAAUGAUAUUUCUUUCAUGAAUGUAUGCCAGUGCUUCAAAAACUUGUCUUACAUAAUGGCUUAAGUGAAAAGAAGGAUAUACUGUUAAAUCAUAGUUUAUGAUUGGCAGGAAAACUACUUAUUGAUUUAUAGGUUAUAAUAAAUUACAAAAUGAUAGAAUGAUAGCAUGAUUAUGAAUAAAUUUGCACAACAUUCAAGGAAUUGUAACCAAAUGCAACCCAGGCUUAUCUUUUUGCUGGACACCUGAAAAACAACUAGGAUACCUAAAUAACCAGAGAGGGAGUUGGGAAGUUUUAUUUAAGAAGAGAAAUUCUUUGUGUCAAAUUCCUUUACUGAGUUUGAUCACUAUUUUGCUCUGAAGAUUCCUUAUCUCCCCCUCCCCCUCCCCCCUCCAAAUGGCACAAGAACCCAAAUAUAUAGGCAAAAUGCUGACCACUUGGAGUGGGAGUCAUAAUAGUUUUCCGGCAUGUGAACAAAUGGGUUCCAAUUUAUAGCUGCAGAUGAAGGAUGAAAAUACAGACCACAGCACCAACCUACUACUUAAAAAUUAACAAGUGGUUACAAACUUGUAAAUCUUUGAAUUGGGAUUACCUAAAACUCUCAAACAGUUCAGUCUCCAUUAAGUUGCAGCAGGUGACAUUAAAAGGUUCAAUAGUUAAGACAUAUUUGUUUUAUUUAUAAUUUUUAAACAAACUGAAUUCAUGUUUUGUAUAUUCACCUUGCAACUGCUUCACUAUAUACAAAUCCAUUGUUAACCCUAUUUACUAUUUCUUCGCAGAGAUCAACACCAUCCAUCCUAUAUUGAAGAAACAAAUUUCAUAUCAGAUUACGCAAUCAUACUGUUUCCACUGACCAUCUUGAGAAAAUGACACUCUUUGCCAAAAAUAACUCCUUCUGCCAAAGAAACCCGUUUUGCUAAAACAUUUCCUUAUGGAAAAACAGCAAACUUCUUAACACAGCUUUUAAAUAAUACCGAGCUCUUGUGUUUCCAAUGACCAAUUGGAAUUUAUGACAUCAAGACAAUCUUUCAUAGCAAGUGAGCAUCCACAAAAAAUAAUUCAACACGAUAAGGUACAGACAUUUUCAUUUUCAUUUUGAGGUAAUGAAAAUAGCAGGUGAAAAAAUACUUACUGUUCAGUUACCAUGUAAACAGCAUCAUCAACUUUAUGUGCAGAUAAAAUCUGAACUGAUUAAAAAGAGACUUUGACAAUGAAAAUUGACAGGCUUUGACAUACUUGUACUAUAAAUACAAAAUGCAAAAUAAUGCAAAAUAUUGUAGGAAGACCAAUUUGCUAUACAAAUUUUUCUAAAAAGUCUUAGCUGCUUUUGCUUUUUUAUUUUCUUUUUUUCUGGGAGAUUAUAUUAAAAUUAUGCAAAAUAUGUUGCAUUAGGAAUGUUUAUAGAAAUCGUUUGCUCCUCACCUAUAUGUGGGUGCCUUAAUUUGCUGCAAAUCGAAACUUCCCUCUCAAUAUCUGAAAAGAAAGAGCCAGAAACAUUCAUUCACUUGAAAAAUUGUCUUAAAAUGCAUAAUAUAAGCCGAGAGGCCAAAGAGGGAGGGGUGGUGGGGAAAGUGCCCCUUUUGUCCUUUAAUAGGAGGGGCAAGGAGGGCAAAAGUCCCUGUGAAGUCAGCAUUUUUCAAUUAUCAAGGUGAGUAAUAUAAAAUAUUGACUGUAGUGCCUUAUUCACCAUGAAAUAUCACUUGUAAGAAAAUUGUGAGAAAAUUACUUAUAUGACAGCAGUUAGCCCAUUUUUAGAAGACUAAAGAAAAUUGAAAUAAAAGGACAGUUACAAAAGAAUACGCAGAUUUUGGUUUUCUAGUAUACAUUUUAGACAGAAAUCUGUAAGCAUUAUUCCAAUUUCAUUAAUAUCAGUGGUAAAAGGAGCUUAAGGGACAUCAAGAAGCAAAUACUUCCUAAGUUGGUGAAUCAUGUUUUGAAAUCUGACUGUGAAAUGCCAAAAAUUUACGCUGUUAUAAGGCAGUAGGAAUUUAAUUCAUAUUGGAGGAGGGUGCGGGUAGGGCAAAGCAUCUCUUUUUUCAUUUUCAAUAGAAGCAUUCUAACUGAAGAAGAAAGCCAGCUUAUAUAAAAAAGGAAGCAGGAAAGUGAAAAAUACUCAUUAUGCACCAAGUGAAGCAAAUUGUUGAAAAUUGAUGGAAUUAUGAACACAUGCUCAUAAAGAAACAGUAUCUUAUUAUGUUGUUGUUAGCUGACUUGGUGAUGGGCUUAAUCUGAUGAGUCAUUUUCAUUUUAGCUUUGAUUUUUUUCUAGUAAGCCGAUUUGAGUGGCCAAGCAACAAUUUGUAACUGAAUCCUAGAACCAUGCCAAAAAGAACUCUGCAUGCUGGCCAGGUUAAGUUUGUAAGCCAGUGUUUAAAAACCCCUCUAAUUUAUUACAGAAAUUAUUGCUGGAGCAUGGGUCAUUUAUUACAGAAGAGAGUAACAUCACCUAAAUGUGGAAACUAGAUGAUGUGUGACCCUCGUAGAGAAAAGUGCUUGACAGGAAAAUCCCUACAAAAUGACACAUGAUGGGAAGGAUGAUCAACAAGUAUCAUUUUGUUUCCAAGAAACAGGGAACCUAGGGCUUACGACUUUCCCUUGCUCUACUCCCAAACUUAGAUAGUCUGCCACAUCUGCAUAUAUUUAUGGAGAGAGUAAGCGCUGGCACAUCCGCGAUUUUUAUGAAAAGAAAUAAAAGCACACUUGAGGAAAAUGUAGAGCCUCUCUGAUCGCCCUGGGUCUCGUGGACACUUCAAGUAUGGUUUCUGGGUUAAAGAAAUGCAGGAUAUUGAACUCAUUAAUGACAAAAAAUUUUACGAAGAGAAGUCUGUGCUGUCAGAUUAGCCAAUUUGGAAGCAAUUGCAAUUAAAGUCACCCCAUCCAGCAGUCUAUCAUUUACUCUACUACAGCCUGAUGAUAUGACAAGGUCAAUGGAGGCGCAAGGCGAGGCUCCAUAAUCAGAGCAAACAGAAUGCUGUGGUGGGGGCUGGAAAAGGUGGU